rnacentral:rRNA from 1 species
GACGAACGCUGGCGGCGUGCCUAAUACAUGCAAGUUGAGCGCUGAAGGUUGGUACUUGUACCAACUGGAUGAGCAGCGAACGGGUGAGUAACGCGUGGGGAAUCUGCCUUUGAGCGGGGGACAACAUUUGGAAACGAAUGCUAAUACCGCAUAAAAACUUUAAACACAAGUUUUAAGUUUGAAAGAUGCAAUUGCAUCACUCAAAGAUGAUCCCGCGUUUUAUUAGCUAGUUGGUGAGGUAAAGGCUCACCAAGGCGAUGAUACAUAGCCGACCUGAGAGGGUGAUAGGCCACAUUGGGAAUGAGCAACGGCCCAAACUCCUACGGGAGGCAGCAGUAGGGAGUCUUCGGCAAUGGACGAAAGUCUGACCGAGCAACGCCGCGUGAGUGAAGAAGGUUUUCGGAUCGUAAAACUCUGUUGGUAGAGAAGAACGUUGGUGAGAGUGGAAAGCUCAUCAAGUGACGGUAACUACCCAGAAAGGGACGGCUAACUACGUG